GUUUUAGUACUAUCAGUUUAGCGAGAGCGGGGGUUCAAUCACAAUGGCUUCCGCAGUGAGGGUGGCUUUGAGAUCCUUCGGUAAUCGUUCUAGAAGCUUCGUCAAGAGCUCAACCACGCCGUUUGUGUUCACUUCGUCUUCCGCAUCGUGCAUCUCUCGUGCUUCGAGGGUUUUGUCGGUUAUGAUAAGCGUUGAUUCGUUGAUGCCUCUUCACAGUGCUGUCGCUAAUGCUAGGCUCACCUCCAAUAUCGCCUUCGAUUCCACCUGCUGGAGCUCGCUUUCUCGAGGACUUAAAAAAACAUUGUGACAGGCCUGCUGGAUCCAUUCAAGAUGAAAGAAAAAAUGAAAAAGAGAGAAUCGUAACUUUUCUUUUGUCUCACCCUAGGAUGGGAAAAGAUCUUCAAACAUUUAAAUUGUGGUCAGUUGCACUAUGAUUCCCUCCAACUGCAGACUUGUAUAAUUGGAUUUCCUCAUUGACUGAGAAUGGAUGACCAACAUGCUCCCAAUUACACUUUCCCAAAAUCUUCUUGAAUGGAUUUGGAAGGAUUCACAAUAAGAUGCAAGCUUCCUUAAGGAUUUUAAAAUGAUGUUUCAGACUUUGCAGUUCCUCGGUGACAAAGAGUCAAAGACUAAAGGAUACCGUCAUAUCAAAUCCUAGUUGGGUUGCAUUAGAGUUAAUGUUGGUUCACAUCUUACUCCUGGUCUAUUUCCUUUAUGGCAUACCUUGGAGCAUCACAGUCCAGUCUGAAAAAUAAUAUUAUUCUUUUAAUGAUGUAAACCUCGUAUUUGAUCACAAGAUUGUGAUACAAGGCAACGGUUCUAAAAUUUGAUGAAUUAUAUUUCGCUUUCCUUUUGAA